AUUGAACGCUGGCGGCAGGCUUAACACAUGCAAGUCGAACGAGUGGCGGACGGGUGAGUAAUGCUUGGGAAUCUGGCUUAUGGAGGGGGAUAACUACGGGAAACUGUAGCUAAUACCGCGUACCAUAGGAUGAGCCCAAGUGGGAUUAGGGAGUUGGUGGGGUAAAGGCUCACCAAGCCGACGAUCCCUAGCUGGUCUGAGAGGAUGACCCGACACACUGGAACUGAUACACGGCCCAGACUCCUACGGGAGGCAGCAGUGGGGAAUAUUGAACAAGGGGGGCAACCUGAUGCAGCCAUGCCGCGUGAAGGAAGAAGGCCUUCGGGUUGUAAAGUUCUUUCAGUGGGGAGGCGUUACCUACAGAAGAAGCACCGGCUAACUCCGUGCCAGCAGCCGCGGUAAUAC
rnacentral:rRNA from 1 species